AGGACCUGAAUAGACAUUUUUCAAAAAGACAUACCAAUGGCCAACAGGUAUAUAGAUAACAAAAGUGCUCAGGGGUCAGGUCUGAACCAGCUUGGGGAACGUUUCUGGAAGAGAUGACUUUUGGGUAGAAGUCUGCUAGGUGGGGAGUAGGAUAUAAGAAGGGGGGAGGAAAAUAUAAUUCCUGUAAAUCUGCAGUGUGUCAAAUGAAAUAAGGGCAUCUUUUCUUUGUUAAACUACUAAAAAAAUGCAUCUAAUAUGGCUUCAGGGAAUACAGAAGUGGUCAUUUGUAGCUGGAGAAAGGUGGCAGAUAAUGGAAAGUCCUGUAUAUUACACGGAGGAGUUUGGAUUUUAUCUAUCCAGGGCGAAAAAGGUGAAACUAUUAAUGAUGUUUAUAGUAUUUCUGUUUCAGAAAGAACAAUCUGGGGAAACAUAUGAAGGCUGAAUGAAAGAGAGACAAGAGAUGAGACUUUUGUUAAGAGGUAAGAAAUAGCAAGACUGAACUGGGGCAAGUGAAAACAAAAGAAGUUGCUGGCUAUUUUAGACCAGAGGACAGAAGGAUGCAGAUCAUAAGGGAGAAGAGUGUCUACAAUGUUUACUGAAACUGUCACCUCUUUCAAUUUUUAGUACAGAAAAUUGAUGAUAAGUGGGAGCCACCAACAAAUUCACAGAAUCAGUGACAGAUAAAUCUAAUCAUUAAAACCCAAACUUUCCAUUGAAUGAGAUGUACAGUGCUUAAAAACAAAUGCCAAAACAUGACUUUUAUUAUGUAAACUAUCAAAUGUUUAUUUACUUUCCGUUUCAAAUAUUUUCAAGUAAAAAAUAUGUACAAAAAUAUAUAUACAAAAGUUUAAUGAGCUGGAAGCAUUUCAAGCAUACUUAUACAUAAACACAAUUGAAAUUAAAUUCAAUGCAAAAUUGAGUGACAUCAUAUUGCACCAGAAUUUCUUCCAUACAAAACAUAUGCGUCAAGAGUUUCCACCAGAUGAAAUCACACUUAUUUCAUAGUAUCGUACCACUUACACAAAUAGCCCAUAAACACCAUCUGGCAGUGUGAUUUCUGCACCAGAACUCUCCCCAGAAGGAAAUCAUUAAGCUCUAAAAAAAUCCAUUUUAUUUCACAUAUCACAUGCUGGUAUAGGCAUCUGUGCCAGAGAACCCUAGAAACGCAACAUAAUCUACGAAUGAAAUUCUCUGUGCACCAUUUAUAUUUUUAUAGUUAAAUAUCUUAGUACUCCAAAUAUGAUUGGAAUGUAGGUGCAGAAAAGGAGUUUUGCUCCUUAAGAAUUUAUCAAUACAAGACAUUGCGUAAAAGUAUAAAAUGCACACAAUCCACUUUACCAAGUGUCCCUAUCACAAUGUCAAAGCGAAGGACCACAGAUGAGGACCACUUAGGAAACUGAGGCUCACUCCUCCACAGCUGCAUUUCUCUGACCCUGUAUUUUAGAUCACCAGGACAAAUCCACCAUUCCCCUGACCCCUACCAAUGAGGGGAAUGGUACAAGGUCAUGACAAAUACAUUCCAGACCCCAGCUAAGGGGUAUAGCUGGUCUAUAAAUUACAGUUUAAGCACAGAUCAAAGAGUUGGCUGCCAGCACAACCCACCAGAGUAACCCAACUACUAUUUCCCCACUGGGCUCAAUUGAUUCCAUUGGUGCAAAUUACUGACACUUGACAUAGGAUAUAAAAGGCAUUUAAAUACAUUCAUAUAUGUUACUUAAUGAUAUGUUAAUAUGAACACACAUACAGAAUUUUCUACUCCUUGAGAACUGAAAAAGAAGUUACUAUUACUAAGUCAAAUUUUAACACAAAACUCACUGAAACCAUUUUUAUAAAGUAAAUACAGAUAAAGUUAUAAUAAAAAGAUAUUAAUGAUUCAUCAUGAGAUGAAUUCUGAGUCAGUAACUAAAAACCAUCUCUACCAGUGCAUCACUACCAUCUAAUCCACUCUAUGGUAAGCAAAAACCAAGCUCUACAAAAUCUUGAGUAAAAUCUUAGUCAGAAAAGAAAAGCACACGUCUGAAC